AUGAUGGAAGGUCUUCGAGAAAAUAUACCAGAAAAAUCCCAAAUUAAAUACUACAGUCAUGAUGAGCACCAGAUACCCACUCAAGAGGAGAUAAUGUCUUGUCCCUGGAUGUUUGCAAAUGUCCAGCUAAGAGUUGAUGGUAUCCCUAAUCAAGAUAAUGACCGUGGGAUUUUGCAGUUAUCCAAGCAAGAGAUGACGUGUCCCUACCGUGAUCUUGAUCCUAUGCCUUUCUAGGUAUUCAGAUAUUCUGAGAAGAGAUGAUGGUGUUCCUAACAACACUAAUGACCCAGGAUUCUGCACAUACCCAGUGAAGAGAUGAUGGCAUCUCUACCAACAUUGGUGUCUAUGGAAAUGAAAGAAAUGGAAUGCUUUUUUUGAUUAGCUAUAUAAUUUGUUAAAAGAAUUUUAACUUUCAAUGACUAUUAAAUAUUAUUCACAAUCGUAUUUUCUUAUAUCCAUUUGUUUAUUCAAUUUCUCCAUAAUGACAUUUGCAUCAGGAAUCUUAAGGCCCAUGUUUAUGAAAUAUGUUAAUAUCUUGGAGCCAUCAAUACAGAUAGACUUCAUAUGAAAUGUGAUUAUUUCCUAAAGAAAACUAGUCUAUAAACCCAAUUCUUUAGUUAAAGGGUUGGGGGAACCAAG
rnacentral:lncRNA from 1 species